CCUGCACUGUAUGUUUGGUCACUCUCAGCCAGUGAGCUAAGCCCUGCACUGUAUGGCUGAUCAUUCUCAGGCAAUCAGUUAAGCCCUGCACUGUAUCGUCUGAUUACUCUCAGCCAGUGAGCUAAGCCCUGCACUGUAUCGGCUGAUCACUCUCAGCCAGUGAGCUAAGCCCUGCGCUGUUUGACUGAUCACUCUCAGACAGUGAGCUAAGCCUUGCAAUGUAUCGGCUGAUCACUCUCAGCCAGUUAGCUAAG